CACCAGAUUAACGAAGGGAGAGGAAACUAUUUUCAUCCGGCUCCAGUUAACCAGACGGACAACACCCCACUGAGGGGUCAUCGUUUCAUCCAGCGGCGGCGGCGGAUCCCGUGCGUCGCCGCCCUCCCGCGCCGCGCCCUCCCCCCCGCGCUGCUCUCCCGCGCGGUGCCCUCCCUCCUGCGCUGCUCUCCCGCGCGGUGCCCUCCCUCUCGCGCUGCUCCCUCUCUCUCAGUCUUUCUUCUUCCUCUGUCAAACCAAGAACAGAGAGCACCGAGCAGAGCGCCUCUCGCCCGCCGGGAAAAUCCACCGCCCCUACCCCGCCAUUCCCAAAUCGCCGCCGCCCACAGCUAGCACGCAUUCCCAGAUCCAUUCCCCACCACUUCUUGCCCCGUGCCAUGGCCCCAAUCGCCGGAGGUUUGAGUUCCCGCACCCGCCAUUGUGGCCAGCCGCCGAGCUCCACCUCGCCGCCGAACCCCACCUUCCCGGCCCUCUCUUCUCCAACCAACCACAAAAACCGAACCUAGGAUAAGAAGGGAAGAGAAAGGAUAUGCACAUUUGGGACAAGCACAGGCAUAUAUCUAAGUAUUGAGAUAUACUAUGUGUAAUCAUUUUCAUAUAUGACUAUUUAAUAUCAUAUGCAUAUAUUUAUUUACCUAUAUGAACUUUUAACACGAGA